UCGUAAAACCGAGGUGCAAGGGUUGUGGACUCAGGUCUGCAGUUGAUUCUUUGCGAGUCUUCUAUGUCUUACAAACUCUAUUAGUAUGUUUUAGAAUGUCUUUUAUUGGGACUUCAUUGGCCCUUUAAACUUUAUA
rnacentral:misc_RNA from 1 species